rnacentral:rRNA from 1 species
AGUGAACGCUGGCGGUAGGCCUAACACAUGCAAGUCGAACGGCAGCACAGUAAGAGCUUGCUCUUACGGGUGGCGAGUGGCGGACGGGUGAGGAAUACAUCGGAAUCUACUUUUUCGUGGGGGAUAACGUAGGGAAACUUACGCUAAUAUCGCAUACGACCUACGGGUGAAAGCAGGGGAUCUUCGGACCUUGCGCGAUUGAAUGAGCCGAUGUCGGAUUAGCUAGUUGGCGGGGUAAAGGCCCACCAAGGCGACGAUCCGUAGCUGGUCUGAGAGGAUGAUCAGCCACACUGGAACUGAGACACGGUCCAGACUCCUACGGGAGGCAGCAGUGGGGAAUAUUGGACAAUGGGCGCAAGCCUGAUCCAGCCAUACCGCGUGGGUGAAGAAGGCCUUCGGGUUGUAAAGCCCUUUUGUUGGGAAAGAAAAGCAGCAGGUUAAUACCCCGCUGUUCUGACGGUACCCAAAGAGUAAGCACCGGCUAACUUCGUG